UACAGAGGUCUCAAGCGUUGUUCGGAUUCAUUGGGCGUAAAGCGCGCGUAGGUGGCGCUGCAAGUCGGGUGUGAAAUUUCGGAGCUUAACUCCGAAACUGCAUUCGAUACUGCGGUGCUUGAGGACUGGAGAGGAGACUGGAAUUCAUGGUGUAGCAGUGAAAUGCGUAGAGAUCAUGAGGAAGACCAGGGGCGAAGGCGGGCCUCUGGACAGUUCCUGACACUGAGGCACGAAGGCCAGGGGAGCAAACGGG
rnacentral:rRNA from 1 species